GCAAAACGCGAAGAACCUUACCCACCUUUGACAUGUACGGAAUCCUUUAGAGAUAGAGGAGUGCUCGAAAGAGAGCCGUAACACAGGUGCUGCAUGGCUGUCGUCAGCUCGUGUCGUGAGAUGUUGGGUUAAGUCCCGCAACGAGCGCAACCCUUGCCAUUAGUUGCUACAUUUAGUUGAGCACUCUAAUGGGACUGCCGGUGACAAACCGGAGGGAGGUGGGGAUGACGUCAAGUCCUCAUGGCCCUUAUAGGUGGGGCUACACACGUCAUACAAUGGCUGGUACAAAGGGUUGCCAACCCGCGAGGGGGAGCUAAUCCCAUAAAGCCAGUCGUAGUCCGGAUCGCAGUCUGCAACUCGACUGCGUGAAGUCGGAAUCGCUGGUAAUCGUGGGUCAGAAUGUCACGGUGAAUACGUUCCCGGGUCUUGUACACACCG
rnacentral:rRNA from 1 species